rnacentral:pre_miRNA from 15 species
UGGAUUUCUUCCUUGUUGCCUGUUGCUACGCGUGUUACCUCAGUACCUAGGCUGGGGUUUUUCGAAAGUCAGGUACCUGAAGUAGCGCGCGCAGCGGUGGUGCAAUUCUCAUCACCAUCCG